rnacentral:rRNA from 1 species
UACAGAGGGGGCAAGCGUUGUUCGGAAUUACUGGGCGUAAAGGGCGCGUAGGCGGCCUUCUAAGUCGACCGUGAAAUCCCUGGGCUCAACCCAGGAACUGCGUCCGAGACUGAAAGGCUCGAAUCCGGGAGAGGGAUGUGGAAUUCCAGGUGUAGCGGUGAAAUGCGUAGAUAUCUGGAGGAACAUCGGUGGCGAAGGCGGCAUCCUGGACCGGGAUUGACGCUGAGGCGCGAAAGCCAGGGGAGCAAACGGG